rnacentral:rRNA from 1 species
AUGAGAAACUUGAGACGAACAGAGCUGCAACCUUUAUUGGACAAGGGUAAAUCCAGAUUAGCUAUCUGGAAAGGGAAGCUGAUGAACAGAACGGGCAGACUAGAUCUGAUCAAUUCGGCCCUCACAGCCACCAUCACAUAUUUUCUCACUGCUUUCUCUCCCAAUAGCUGGUUCACCAAGAAAUUUGACAAGUUGAGAAGAAAUUUUCUAUGGAGCACAGAAGAGGAAGCACACGGAGGAAAGUGCCUUGUCAACUGGAAGCGAAUCUGCGCGCCACUAAGCGUGGGUGGCCUGGGAAUCAAGGAAAUACACGCUUUUGGUCGGGCGCUAAGACUGCGAUGGCCAUGGUAUGAAUGGGACAAUCUGGACAGGCCAUGGAAAGGGACCCCGAUUCCUUGCAAUCAAACGGACCUGAAUUUAUUUGCGGCCUGCACUUCGAUUUCGCUCGGAGAUGGUAAUCUGGUGAAUUUUUGGAAGCAUAGAUGGUUACAGGGCCGAGCACGCAAGGAAUUGGCCCCUGAACUAUUC